rnacentral:lncRNA from 1 species
AAAAAAUAUAAUAAAGUAUAAUUGGUAGCAUGAUUAGGUCAAGCAUUUUCUACAGUAGAAAAAUGUUUUAGACAGAAACACUGUUUAUGAAGAGUUGUUCAUUGUUCCCAUAUAAAUGUGUCUCUUACCUCUUUCUGUCCAAGGGAGGUGGAGGGAGGUGGCCUGAAUGGGAUGGUGUAUUAUUAUCCAGAUAAUAGAAUCCAGAUAGAGAAUUGGUUACUGUAUGCAGGAGCAAAUCCCUAAUGUGACUGCUGCCCACUGAAGACCAAAUAGCUCUCCUGAUGCAGUCAAAGAAGCUGGAAAAUGUCCUGGUGGCAAUAACUGUUUCUGCAGAUCUGGCAUCCAUCCACCCAUCUCCACCAUCCUUCCAUCCAUCUUCUGUCACGCUUCUUCUUCCUGGACAUGAAGUUUAUGCAUACGGCCUGGGAGAAGGACAUGGAUGGCUGUGGUGGUGCAGCUGAUGACCACCACUGAUGCAGUAGCAAGCAUUGCUGGAGCAGCAGAAGACCUUAGCCUAGCUGCUCCGGAUCCCUCUGAGACAAGCGCUCAGCAUCCCUGCUACGUGGACCAUAUUAGUCUGGCACCUCCGUCCGUAGCUAUGUGCCCAUGCUGCUGGAAGCACUUUGCUGGCGUAGCGGUGCACAGGGCUGCCAAAGCUGCCUCAGGGUGGCACACGAACAAAACAAAAC